CUCAACAACUUAUUGUUCCGGUUACAUUUUGUUAUUGUCUCAUUUGGUAAAUUCCCCUUUUAUUGUAAAGAACUGUGGAAUAAUCUGGUGCUAUAUAUAUAAUAAUACACAAAAAUAAGUCCUGCGCUCAGACUCCCACUACUCUUGGGCGACAGCAAUGACCAUAAUACACAUCAGCCCCAAUACAUACAAUAAAAAAAAAACAAAUGAAAGAGUUACCUGCGCACUACCCCAAAUCCCUAUGCAAAUGGAGGUUUUUCAUUUAACUCCUA